GACGAACGCUGGCGGCGUGCCUAACACAUGCAAGUCGAACGAGGUUGAGAGGAGCUUGCUUUUCUUGACUUAGUGGCGAACGGGUGAGUAACGCGUGAGGAACCUGCCUCAAAGAGGGGGACAACAGUUGGAAACGACUGCUAAUACCGCAUAAGCCCAUAGCUCCGCAUGGAGCAGAGGGAAAAGGAGUGAUCCGCUUUGAGAUGGCCUCGCGUCCGAUUAGCUAGUUGGUAAGGUAACGGCUUACCAAGGCAACGAUCAGUAGCCGACCUGAGAGGGUGACCGGCCACAUUGGGACUGAGACACGGCCCAA
rnacentral:rRNA from 1 species